AGAUUACAGGCGUGAGCCACCACGCCCAGCUGCUAUGUGAUUUUUAACUCUGCAUGUGUUUCAUUUCUGAAGGAAAAUAAUUAGGAAACACUAUUGAUGGAUUAGCUUGAGUUUAUAUCCAGCAAUCUCUUCACUGAUUAGUACCAUGUUGGAAGGUGGGACAUGGACAUGAUGGCUGGAGCAAGUGUAGUCAUCUUGAACCAUGAGGCGACCAUAGGAAUAGAGGCCACACUAGUGGCACAACAAAAUAGAAGGAACCUGAGCCCUGAUUCCGUAAAGGACCAUGACACCACUGGACGGCUGCCUCUGGGCUCUGUGUGAGAGGGAAAUAAACCACCUCGUGUCACUGUUGUUUUGGAUUUUCUGUCACUUGUGCCCUUUAAGUCUUAGACUCUACUUCUGGAAAGCCCCUAUAUCCUAAGACUGGGUAACUUCCCCCCUUGUAUGUUAUUCAAACACCCCACCCUUCAGCCCUUUCUUAGCAUUCUCUACACUUUUCUGUAGUUGACCUUUCACUCCCCCUAGAUAGUAACUUCUCUAAGGACAGGCAGAGACUCUAUUUUAUACAUCAUUUUAUGCAGAUGCUGGAAACUGCUAACGCUAAAAAAAAAAAAAAAAAAGAAGAAGAAGAACUUGUGAAUGUGACAGACACGAUGAUUCUACCAAGGGUGUUGAGGGGAAAUGACACACUGCUGCCUACGCUCUCUCUCCGUGUCCUAAGUCGUUGCCACAUUAUCUUCUGGGGCCACAGGGUGCUGGCCCUCCUGAAUAACCAAAGAUAGAGAAUUAGGACGAAGGAGGGAGGAAGAGAAAAUUGCAGGAAAUUCAAGUCAUGGGAGGGAAGUGGCAUUGGGAAAAAGGGUGCUCUUUCUAUUUGGUUCCUGCUAUUUUCGACUUUGGGCCUUUUGCAACUUCCCUUGGCUCUAGCCCCUCCUCCAGUCCUGGUCUCUUAUCACACAUACACCUAUGUUCCCACGUUCUAUACCUCAAUUACACCCAAUUUCAUUCAUAAGUGGAGUGGCCCUGAUUAAUGCAAAAUUUUUAAGAAGUUAUAAACACAAACAACCCCAGUUACAGAAGGGGGUACCUUACUCUGUUUCUCACAUUCACUUCAUUCCUUUGUUCAUUCCACAUGCAUUCACUGAAUACCCACACUGCUAAGACCUGCGGAUACACAGAUGAACAGAUACCCUCUCCAGCCUCAAGGAUGUCACAUUUUUGGUUGAGAUUGGAGAGAAAACAAAGUAUCUCUAGCCCAAGAUAACUCAAUCCUUCAAAUGACCCUGAUCAGGAACAAAAAAUAUGACACUACGUUGAAGUAUAUACAUUGCAUUGCCUCUCUACCCCCUUCUAAAAAGUGAGGGUUUCAUUUUGCUUCUUUGCUUGCUUGUUUGCUCAGCUGCUCAGCCCUGGACCUUGUCAUACUGGUUGAAUGGACGGACAGGUAACGUAAACAAGUAAGGAAGACAAGACAAGGAAGUUAAGAGUUCGAGGUAAUGAGACAUUUGAGAAGCUGAGGUAUUGCGAGAGAUUUGGGAACUGGGUUGGAAGAGCAGUUUUGUUGUUGUUUUGGGGGUUUUUUGUUUGUUUUUGAGAAGACGCUCCUCACCUCCCAGACGGGGUCGCGGCCGGGCAGAGGCGGUCCUCACAUCCCAGACGGGGCGGUGGAGCAGAGGCGCUCCCCACAUCUCA
rnacentral:lncRNA from 10 species